AGAGUUUGAUCAUGGCUCAGAUUGAACGCUGGCGGCAUGCCUUACACAUGCAAGUCGAACGGCAGCGCGGGGCAACCUGGCGGCGAGUGGCGAACGGGUGAGUAAUAUAUCGGAACGUACCCUGGAGUGGGGGAUAACGUAGCGAAAGUUACGCUAAUACCGCAUACGAUCUAAGGAUGAAAGUGGGGGAUUCGCAAGAACCUCAUGCUCCUGGAGCGGCCGAUAUCUGAUUAGCUAGUUGGUGGGGUAAAGGCCUACCAAGGCAUCGAUCAGUAGCUGGUCUGAGAGGACGACCAGCCACACUGGAACUGAGACACGGUCCAGACUCCUACGGGAGGCAGCAGUGGGGAAUUUUGGACAAUGGGCGAAAGCCUGAUCCAGCAAUGCCGCGUGAGUGAAGAAGGCCUUCGGGUUGUAAAGCUCUUUUGUCAGGGAAGAAACGGUGUGGGCUAAUAUCCCGCACUAAUGACGGUACCUGAAGAAUAAGCACCGGCUAACUACGUGCCAGCAGCCGCGGUAAUACGUAGGGUGCAAGCGUUAAUCGGAAUUACUGGGCGUAAAGCGUGCGCAGGCGGUUUUGUAAGUCUGUCGUGAAAUCCCCGGGCUCAACCUGGGAAUUGCGAUGGAGACUGCAAGGCUAGAAUCUGGCAGAGGGGGGUAGAAUUCCACGUGUAGCAGUGAAAUGCGUAGAGAUGUGGAGGAACACCGAUGGCGAAGGCAGCCCCCUGGGUCAAGAUUGACGCUCAUGCACGAAAGCGUGGGGAGCAAACAGGAUUAGAUACCCUAGUAGUCC
rnacentral:rRNA from 1 species